rnacentral:tRNA from 1 species
UGGUCGGGAUAGCUCAGCUGGUAGAAGCAGAGACUGAAAUCCUCG